GACCUAGAGCCACUCGCAAGAGAAGGUAUGGUAACCAAAAUCUAUCAGGAAAUAAAAGCUCAUCGUCAGAGCCUAUUUCCUGAUAGUCACGUUCCGAAAGGUUCGUGGGUGGCAUUUAUGCCAUC
rnacentral:sRNA from 1 species